GCCCGCUCAGAAACUUAAUGAAUUGACGGGGGCCCGCACAAGCGGUGGAGCAUGUGGUUUAAUCGAUGAUACGCGAGGAACCUUACCAGGGCUUGAUAUACACCGGAAGCGCCGUGAAAGCGGCGUGCCGCUUGCGGCCGGUGAACAGGUGCUGCAUGGCUGUCGUCAGCUCGUGCUGUGAAGUGUUGGGUUAAGUCCCGCAACGAGCGCCAACCCCUGCCGUCUGUUGCCACCACGAAAGGUGGGGACUCAGGCGGGACCGCCGGUGACAACCGGAGGAAGGUGGGACGACGUCAAGUCAUCAUGGCCCUUAUGUCCUGGGCCACACACGUGCUACAAUGGCCGGUACAGAGCGCAGCGAGGCCGCGAGGCGGAGCGAAUCGCUUAAAGCCGGUCCCAGUACGGAUUGGAGUCUGCAACCCGACUCCAUGAAGUUGGAAUCGCUAGUAAUCGCGCAUCAGCAUGGCGCGGUGAAUACGUUCCCGGGCCUU
rnacentral:rRNA from 1 species